AUGCCCGUAGUUCAGAUGGCGAGAAUGUCGGUCUCCAAAACCGAGGGUCGCUGGUUCGAGUCCAGCCGGGUAUGCGA
rnacentral:tRNA from 1 species